rnacentral:siRNA from 1 species
AUCAGUGCCAUAAAUUGAAGAAG